rnacentral:rRNA from 1 species
AGAGUUUGAUCCUGGCUCAGGAUGAACGCUGGCGGUCUGCUUAACACAUGCAAGUCGAACGCAACCUUCGGGUUGAGUGGCGGACGGGUGAGUAACGCGUGAGAAUCUGCCUUAGGGUCGGGGACAACCACUGGAAACGGUGGCUAAUACCGGAUAAGCCGAUUGGUGAAAGAUUUAUUGCCCGAAGAGGAGCUCGCGUCUGAUUAGCUAGUUGGUGAGGUAAGAGCUCACCAAGGCAGCGAUCAGUAGCUGGUCUGAGAGGACGAUCAGCCACACUGGGACUGAGACACGGCCCAGACUCCUACGGGAGGCAGCAGUGGGGAAUUUUCCGCAAUGGGCGAAAGCCUGACGGAGCAAGACCGCGUGAGGGAGGAAGGCUCUUGGGUUGUAAACCUCUUUUCUCAGGGAAGAAGCUCUGACGGUACCUGAGGAAUCAGCCUCGGCUAACUCCGUGCCAGCAGCCGCGGUAAUACGGAGGAGGCAAGCGUUAUCCGGAAUUAUUGGGCGUAAAGCGUCCGCAGGUGGCGAUUCAAGUCUGCUGUCAAAGCACGGGGCUUAACUCCGUUAAGGCAGUGGAAACUGAAUA